rnacentral:rRNA from 1 species
AGAACGAACGCUGGCGGCAUGCCUAAUACAUGCAAGUCGAACGAACACUUCGGUGUUAGUGGCGCACGGGUGCGUAACGCGUGGGAAUCUGCCCUUGGGUUCGGAGUAACAGUUGGAAACGACUGCUAAUACCGGAUGAUAUCGAAAGAUCAAAGAUUUAUCGCCCAGGGAUGAGCCCGCGUAGGAUUAGCUAGUUGGUGAGGUAAAGGCUCACCAAGGCGACGAUCCUUAGCUGGUCUGAGAGGAUGAUCAGCCACACUGGGACUGAGACACGGCCCAGACUCCGUAGGGAGGCAGCAGUAAGGAAUAUGGAACAAGUGGGCGACGAAGCCUGAUCCAGCAAGUGCCGCGUGAGUGAUGAAGGUCCGUUAGGGUUAGUAAAGCUUACUUUACCGAGAUGAAUAAUGA